GAGCCUUGCUAGCGGAAGUCCCACCCAGUGGGCGGGGCUCCAGAGUGUUCAGCUGUUCCGGCGUAGCGGAGCUUGUGCGCCAUGACACCUCAAAUCUCAAAUGCUCUCGGUCUUAGCGCCAUCUUCCUUGAGACUCCUGCGCCGUGAGAGCGAAGUGGUGGAAGAAGAGAAUGCGCAGGCUGAAGCGCAAGAGAAGAAAGAUGAGGCAGAGGUCCAAGUAAACCAUCUUGUGCACCCACGAAGCCUUCGGGAGCAGAAGUAAGGGAUGCUGAAGCCCGGAACAAGUAGUUGGACUGUAUGCUGCUGUCGGUAAUAAGUCUCAGUAGACCCGGAAUGUCACCUUGCCGAGAUCAGCUGGGAAAAUGACUACCUUCCUCACAACGAAAACAGUCCCGCUGGCCCUCUGCCCUGGACCUUUGGCAUUCUGGACUAGUUCUGUUCUCUUGUGGCCAAGUGUAACUCGUGUACAAUAAACCCUCUUGCUGUCAAAAAAAAAAAAAUAUUUGCCACAACUCUUGGAAUGGAGGAGGAAAUCUCCGGACUAGGACAGAUCUUCAACUCAUGUCUCGCUGUCUCCUUCAAAUCCUGCGGAUCACGAUUUAAAGCUCUCAGCUACCCUUCUAGCACCAUGCCUGUCUGCCUGCCUGCAUGCUUCUCCUCAGGAUGCUAAUGGACUAACCCUCUGAAACUAAAAGCAAGCACCCAGUUGUAGCAGUAAAUAAUUAAAAUGGAUGCAGGGGUGGGUGGGGCACCAGGCACCAAGCCACACUGCCUCCUGCUCUUCUCUGUCCCCAGCGAUCUCUCCACCUCCAUGGCUAGCCCCAUGUUGGCACUGGCUCCUCUCUGGGCCCACCAGCAGCUGCCAUCCUGGGACUGUGCUGUGAACCCUGCUCACAAUCCCAGCAUCUGCCCCUGUGGCUACAGUCACAACUCCCAGUAGCCAGUUAAAAUCAAAACCCAAAGCUUGUAAUUUAGCAGUCAGAUUCAUAUCAGCAAAUUCUCAGUCCACAAAACGUCCACACAAUAAAGUCACAACCAAUUG
rnacentral:sRNA from 1 species